GGUACGCGGGCUCCGGUAUGUUCUUGAUAUAAGAAUAUAUUGACGAAAGUUUCAUUUUAAUAUCAGCGUGACGGUUUAGCCAUAUAUUGUCAAUUGCAUUUACGAUUGUAGUGCACCAUUUUCAGUGAUUUUACUGUUUUUUAUAGCC